UACACAUCAGGGCUAGCGUUU
rnacentral:piRNA from 1 species